AAAUCAGUUAUCGUUUAUUUGAUAAUACCUUACUACUUGGAUAACCGUGGUAAUUCUAGAGCUAAUACAUGCUAAAAAUCCCGACUUCGGAAGGGAUGUAUUUAUUAGAUUAAAAACCAAUGCCCUCUGGGCUCCCUGGUGAUUCAUAAUAACUUCUCGAAUCGCAUGGCCUUGCGCCGGCGAUGGUUCAUUCAAAUUUCUGCCCUAUCAACUUUCGACGGCUGGGUAUUGGCCAGCCAUGGUGACAACGGGUAACGGAGGGUUAGGGCUCGACCCCGGAGAAGGAGCCUGAGAAACGGCUACUACAUCCAAGGAAGGCAGCAGGCGCGCAAAUUACCCAAUCCCGACUCGGGGAGGUAGUGACAAUACAUACUGAUACAGGGCUCUUUUGGGUCUUGUAAUUGGAAUGAGUACAAUUUAAAUCUCUUAACGAGGAACAAUUGGAGGGCAAGUCUGGUGCCAGCAGCCGCGGUAAUUCCAGCUCCAAUAGCGUAUAUUAAAGUUGUUGCGGUUAAAAAGCUCGUAGUUGAACCUUGGGCCUGGCUGGCCGGUCCGCCUCACCGCGUGCACUGGUUCGGUCGGGCCUUUCCCUCUGGGGAACCGCAUGCCCUUCACUGGGCGUGUCGGGGAACCAGGACUUUUACUUUGAAAAAAUUAGAGUGUUCAAAGCAGGCCUAUGCUCGAAUACAUUAGCAUGGAAUAAUAGAAUAGGACGUGCGGUUCUAUUUUGUUGGUUUCUAGGACCGCCGUAAUGAUUAAUAGGGACAGUCGGGGGCAUCAGUAUUC
rnacentral:rRNA from 1 species